UACGGAGGGUGCAAGCAUUGAUCGGAAUUACUGGGCGUAAAGGGCGCGUAGGCGGUAUGGUAAGUCAGAUGUGAAAUUCCGCGGCUCAACCGCGGAGCUGCAUUUGAAACUGCCAAACUAGAGUAUAGUCAGGGAAAACGGAAUUCCACAUGUAGCGGUGAAAUGCGUAGAUAUGUGGAAGAACACCGGUGGUGAAGACGGUUUUCUGGGCUAUAACUGACGCUGAGGCGCGAAAGCUAGGGGAGCAAACAGG
rnacentral:rRNA from 1 species